UGUGUAGAUUCCUUAACCAAUCAAUGACUUGAAUGAAACACCCCCAAAACCAACAGACGCCGCAGCCCUCCAGGACUGGAGUUUGACACCUGCGCUCUAGCUGUUGAAUGCCCAACCCUGUUCCUGGAGGUUUUCGCUCCAACCCUAACAAAGCACGUCUCGUUCAACAGCUAGAGAUCUGCAUUGAGCUGGUUAGUCGAGUCACAUGGGCCAAAUUUGGGUUGAUAGGAAAACCUACUGGAUGGUAGAUCUCUAGGAACAGGGUUGGUUACCACUGGCUUAAUUCAAGCCACUGAUUGACUAAAGAGUCAGUUCCCAGAUCAGCAGGUGGCCAUACCACAUUUUCCAGCUUGCCAUAAUAUGAUCACCUGAAGCCAGUGAAUCAAUCAGUCUUACAAGCCCCACACCUGGGUGUGAAUUGCUACUGUGGGAGAAGAGCAGAGGACAAAGUCAGUCAGAGCUUGUGGACAACUGCAAGCAAGAAUUCUGCACUUCUCGAACUCUUACAGGGCAUCACAAAUGACUGGCCUGUCUCAGCACUGGCCUAAAGUUGCACAGGAAGACCCUCUCCUGGCUUUAACAUUUUUUUCUUUGCUUAUUGCCAUGAUGACGCUUCUAAAUACCGCGCCGUCCAAAAAAGUAGUGAUGUCACCGCAUCACUUCCUGUCUGUUUAUCAUUUUAUUACGCAAUCCUACAUCCCUUCCUGGAUCCCAAGGGAUGAACGUCGGUUCCAGGGAAGGGAAGAUCUGGUCGGUUAAGACAGUGACGGGAGCGCGGUCGCUUCCACGGAAACCCAUCGCUGAAGCGCAUAGCCGCGUCGGAGUCAUUUUCGGGAUCCUGGCGGGGAACUUCGAACUUCACCGCACGCUGUCCGCCUUCUGCUCGCAUCAUCAGGUCACCCGCCAUGACGGGCAGGAGGCCGGAACGUUCCGAACGCAGACCCGCUUCGACUCCGUGCUCUGCUCCGUGUUGAAUGAUGUGCAGACGUGGGAAAUUGUGUUGAUGGACCUGAAUUGUAUGAGCCUCCCAGCUCCGUGCACACAAACACUCAUUCACACACACAUCAGAGAGAACCUACCUAACCGUUUUAGGUACAUUUCCAUUGUUCAUUCCUGCUGACGAUAUCCUCCAUUUUUCCUCCAUGGGAGCUUAUUCCCCUUUGGUGCGAAUGUUAGCGCUAAGCCUUACCUGUGUCCAUUAGAAAAAUGUCCAAAUGUUCGGCUUUCCCGUUUCCUGUAUGGCAAUAGAAUUUGAGCAUCCGAGUGCAUAACCACUGCACAGCAAAUUCGUUUUGCAAAGUACAGUGACAUAAUGGAACUGCGCAUGAUCUAACAGCUGCACCGGUGGAUUUUGGGUAAAGUUGCAUAAUCUUUUUCAGGUUAACCUCCUGAGACCUGGGAGGAGGAAAAAAAAGAAUUAGGCUCAUAAAUCUUUUUGAUGUAGUACAAGUAUCUUGAUAACAAAACAUGUUGCAGUGAAAAUAUUUUCACAAAUUUUUUUUGUUGAAUGUCCCUUGUAGCGUAGGUUUACAAAGAAUAAAAGAAUGCAUGGUUCUUGAGAUUUAAGAAUGGAAAUUUAUGUCCCCUAAAAGGGCCAUAAAUGAAUUGUUGGGUUGUUUGGAGAUUCAUUUGAGAUACCUGGUUUGCGAAGUCUUUGAAAAGUGGAUGUUACGCUGACAUCACUUCAGAAGUGCCCUCAUAAGAUAAAGGGUGGAAAAAAUGAUCAAAACGGUCAGGUUUUUCCAGUUUCUUCUCGGGUGAUUUAACUUGUGCAGGUAACCAUGGUGCCCACUGCAGUUAAUGACCUCAUAA